GAGGGUAUAGCUCAGUGAUAGAGCACAUGCUUAACAUGCACAAGACCCUGGGUUCAAUCCCCAGGACCUCCA
rnacentral:tRNA from 1 species